GUGAACGCUGGCGGUAGGCCUAACCCCUGCAAGUCGCACGGCAGCACAGUAAGAGCUUGCUCUUACGGGUGGCGAGUGGCGGACGGGUGAGGAAUACAUCGGAAUCUACUUUUUCGUGGGGGAUAACGUAGGGAAACUUACGCUAAUACCGCAUACGGCCUACGGGUGAAAGCAGGGGAUCUUCGGACCUUGCGCGAUUGAAUGAGCCGAUGUCGGAUUAGCUAGUUGGCGGGGUAAAGGCCCACCAAGGCGACGAUCCGUAGCUGGUCUGAGAGGAUGAUCAGCCACACUGGAACUGAGACACGGUCCAGACUCCUACGGGAGGCAGCAGUGGGGAAUAUUGGACAAUGGGCGCAAGCCUGAUCCAGCCAUACCGCGUGGGUGAAGAAGGCCUUCGGGUUGUAAAGCCCUUUUGUUGGGAAAGAAAAGCAGCAGGUUAAUACCCCGCUGUUCUGACGGUACCCAAAGAAUAAGCACCGGCUAACUUCGUG
rnacentral:rRNA from 1 species